rnacentral:rRNA from 1 species
GAUGAACGCUGGCGGCGUGCUUAACACAUGCAAGUCGAACGGUGAAGCAGGAGCUUGCUCUUGUGGAUCAGUGGCGAACGGGUGAGUAACACGUGAGCAACCUGCCCCUGACUCUGGGAUAAGCGCUGGAAACGGCGUCUAAUACUGGAUAUGUGAUGUGACCGCAUGGUCUGCAUCUGGAAAGAAUUUCGGUUGGGGAUGGGCUCGCGGCCUAUCAGCUUGUUGGGGAGGUAAUGGCUCACCAAGGCGUCGACGGGUAGCCGGCCUGAGAGGGGGACCGGCCACACUGGGACUGGGCCACGGCCCAGACUCCUACGGGAGGCAGCAGUGGGGAAUAUUGCACAAUGGGCGGAAGCCUGAUGCAGCAACGCCGCGUGAGGGAUGACGGCCUUCGGGUUGUAAACCUCUUUUAGCAGGGAAGAAGCGAAAGUGACGGUACCUGCAGAAAAAGCACCGGCUAACUACGUGCCAGCCGCCGCCGUAA